CCUACUGAGUGCAGCAGUGAGGAAUAUUGGUCAAUGGCCGAGAGGCUGAACCAGCCAAGUCGCGUGAGGGAAGACGGCCCUACGGGUUGUAAACCUCUUUUGUCGGGGAGCAAAGCGAACCACGUGUGGUUCAUUGAGAGUACCCGACGAAAAAGCAUCGGCUAACUCCGUGCCAGCAGCCGCGGUAAUACGGAGGAUGCGAGCGUUAUCCGGAUUUAUUGGGUUUAAAGGGUGCGCAGGCGGAGGUGCAAGUCAGCGGUCAAAUUGCGGGGCUCAACCCCGUACUGCCGUUGAAACUGCAUCCCUUGAGUGCGCGAGAAGUAUGCGGAAUGCGUGGGGUAGCGGUGAAAUGCAUAGAUAUCACGCAGAACUCCGAUUGCGAAGGCAGCAUACCGGCGCGCAACUGACGCUCAUGCACGAAAGCGUGGGUAUCGAACAGGAUUAGAUACCCCAGUAGUC
rnacentral:rRNA from 1 species